GCCGGUGCUAUUCUGUCGGUAACGUCAAAACAAUCACGUAUUAGGUAACUGCCCUUCCUCCCAACUUAAAGUGCUUUACAAUCCGAAGACCUUCUUCACACACGCGGCAUGGCUGGAUCAGGCUUUCGCCCAUUGUCCAAUAUUCCCCACUGCUGCCUCCCGUAGGAGUCUGGACCGUGUCUCAGUUCCAGUGUGACUGAUCAUCCUCUCAGACCAGUUACGGAUCGUCGCCUUGGUGAGCCAUUACCUCACCAACUAGCUAAUCCGACCUAGGCUCAUCUGAUAGCGCAAGGCCCGAAGGUCCCCUGCUUUCUCCCGUAGGACGUAUGCGGUAUUAGCGUCCGUUUCCGAACGUUAUCCCCCACUACCAGGCAGAUUCCUAGGCAUUACUCACCCGUCCGCCGCUCUCAAGAGAAGCAAGCUUCUCYCUACCGCUCGACUUGCAUGUGUUAGGCCUGCCGCCAGCGUUCA
rnacentral:rRNA from 1 species